UGGGGUCUUGGGACCCCGACCUUCGGGGGCUGAUUUUUGGGCGCGGCUGUGCCCGUGGCCUAUUUUUGGCACACGGAGGCCGCCCGCCAAGUCUGGGGCCAUUCCGAGUCCGGCGGACGAACUUCGCCCACGCCCCCCACCAAGGCUAUAGCCCACCCGUUUUUUGGCCAUUUUUCCGCUGGGGGGUCUUGGGACCCCGACCUUCGGGGGCUGAUUUUUGGGCGCGGCUGUGCCCGUGGCCUAUUUUUGGCACACGGAGGCCGCCCGCCAAGUCUGGGGCCAUUCCGAGUCCGGCGGACGAACUUCGCCCACGCCCCCCACCAAGGCUAUAGCCCACCCGUUUUUUGGCCAUUUUUCCGCUGGGGGGUCUUGGGACCCCGACCUUCGGGGGCUGAUUUUUGGGCGCGGCUGUGCCCGUGGCCUAUUUUUGGCACACGGAGGCCGCCCGCCAAGUCUGGGGCCAUUCCGAGUCCGGCGGACGAACUUCGCCCACGCCCCCCACCAAGGCUAUAGCCCACCUGUUUUUUGGCCAUUUUCCGCUGGACGAACUUGGCGCCCCGGCCUUCGGGCGGUUAUUUUUGGGCGCGGCUUUGCCCGCGGCCUAUUUUUGGAACACGGAGGCCCCUUGCAAAGUCUCAUGGCAUUCCGAGACCGGCGGACAAAGUUGGCCAGCCCCACCCCCCAAGGCUAUAGCUGUAACGCCACAAAUUCCCAUACAUAUUAAAUUAUGGAAAUUGGGCUUUCAUUGAGAAUUAUGGGUGGCCUAUAACCCUUAUUUAGAAAGGGGUACUAGUUAAAUAGAGGUUAUUUAUGAGAUCAUUUUGGAAAAGGGCUAUUUUUCCUUAUUGAAUAGGGUUUCUUAAGAUCCCCUAUAAAUACAUACUUUUCCCCCUUCCAUAACCCUAAGUUCACAACGUUUAUCCUUCUUCUCUGCUGCUCUUUACGCUCCUACCCAAAUCUUAGGAUUCAAACCUUUGUUUAGGAGAGACUCAAAGCGACGGGUAAGUUCACAACGUUUAUUCUGAACAGCAUGAGUAUCUCGAAUUUUUAAAGCUAUAUUUUCUGAACGAAUUUUCUUAUAAAAUUUAUAUUUCUGGAAACUAGACAUGUAGGGCUUCUUGAUUAAAUUUUAUUUCAUUAAAUUCAACUUCGUUUUCAAUUUUAUACGUAUUUUGGAAAUAGAAACCACUGCACUGGAAAUCCACGAUUCCAGUAUUGUGAUCAGAUUCACAAGACUAUUUGUACCACCAAAUGAACUCAAAAAAUUCUGAAAGUUUAUAUGUAUGUUAAUAUAUGUGUCUAGGAUUCCCAGUUUUAAUUUCAUAAUUUUCUGAUUAGUAUUUUAUUUUAUAAAAAUCACGGAACCCGUUCUGUUUGGUUUAGAUUAUGUGAAAACAGUUUCGAAUUUGCUGAGAAGUAAAUAGUUUUUAAAAUGUUUUUGAUAUCGGAUCCUCUUGUAAAUUUUACAUGGGGUACUCAUGGAUGUCCAGAAUGGUUCCAUAGGAUUUUAUAUCAUUCUGAGUCUUUGAUUAAGAGUUAAAAUUCCGAGAAUCAGACCUGUACGGGUAUGAAUUAGAAAAUCAAAUUCUUAGAAUAAGUUAUUGAUUGUCAUAUCUUGUAUUUGUUUAAGGUUUUGAAGGUGUUUGAGGCUCUUAGAAGCUUAGAGGUGUGUUAAUCCAAGUUCAUUUGUCGAGGUAAGUAACUUCAUUCCUAAUGUACUGGAUAUGUAGAAGUAUUUUGAUAUUAUUAUUAUAAGUAUAAAUGUUUUGAUACUACUUAAAGGAUUACUAAUUUUGAUAACAAAAUUAGCUUUAUGUAAAUGUUUUCAAACCAUUCUUUUUAACAAAGUAUUUUAUAAAUGCUUUUUAAUAUGUAAAUGAUUUUAUGACAUGACAACCUUUUAUGAUGUUAUCUUUAAAAUGUUAUGCAAGCCUAUAUUAUUGAUAUGAACUUUUAUAAAUCUGAUACGAAUGUUUUGUACCCAUAUAUGAUUUCAAUUACUGAUAAUUGUAUGAGAUUCCUAAUGUUUUGUCCAUAGUUAUUCUGAUUCUGAUUCUGAUUUUGAUCGUAAUAUACGAUAUAUCUGUCUGGACCAGUACUGGGUUUCUGUUCUGAAUGUGCACACGAUAUUCUGAUUCUGUUUCUGGCCGGGUCACCGGGACUAUAGGUGACACUAUGUGACAUGAGCUAACCUGUUUGUUUUCUGUAUACGUAUUACAUGAGUUGAUUCGUAAGUAAAUAUGCUUUUGAAUAUUCUGAAUUAUUAAGAAUUUAUCUUAUGUUAUUGUGAUAUAUCGUUUUAUGAAAAUUAUGGAUUAUGAUAUAUGCUUUAAACAAAAGAAGGCUUGCAAUAUUUUUGGUAUCGAUAGGCCUAGUGUGUUAGGAAUGGUUUUAUUUACCGAGUUGACAGCUCACCCCUCGUCAUUACGUUUUUGCAGAUUAAGUUUCUUUUGAGAGGUGCACUUAGCUUUGGAGUUAAUGAUUUCCAGUUUCCGUUUGCUAUUGAAUAAGAGGAGGAAUAGACUUGUGUUUCUAUUUAGUUACUUUUAUUAUGAACGUGUAAUUUGGAGUUUGAGACUUUUGUUAUUAUUUUUAUAUGUCCUCGAGAGAGAUUAUUUAGUAUUUGACGUUUGGAUUUAUGGAUUUAUUUGAAUAAGAAUUGGAGGAAUUUCAGUUUGAAACUUAUGAGUAAAGAUUAUGAUUUGUGAGUAACCUCCUUCUUCACGUGCUCCGCACGUGUUAGAUUUGGGGUGUUACAAUUGUGGUAUCAGAGCAAGGUUAGGAUUCUGUAGACUUUCUUUUACCGUUUAAUUAGAUUGUCUAAUUAAAUCGAUUACAUUUGUUUUGUAGACAUGAAGAAGGACAAUAUGGGUAUGAUUUAUUGCUCUUGUUUACAAUAUCAAAUUUUCUUAGUUACACUACUUAUUCAGUACUCUGCGCGCUUGCACGACCUUUAGCUAUGAAUUAUUUACCCCUUUUUAAUUAUUUAUUUAUUCUCUGUGUUAUAGUCAAGAGAUGUCACGUAAGGGAGGUGCUAGGCAUGCCUCUAGCUCGAGAGAUGUUUUAGGUAUCGCUGACGACGCUGACCCAACCUUGCACGAGAUGGCUAACGAAGGAAAUCCUAUGAUGCGCGCAAUGCUUAGAUUGAUGGAACAACAAAGUAAGUUAAUUCAAGAUAUGGCUAGAGGCAGAGUUGGGGCACAAGAGAAUGUGCCAGUUGAAAGGCAAGGUGGCGCAAGAGAUCAUGGGGCUAUGGUGAACUUAGAACGAUUUAAGAAAUUGGGACCACCUACCUUUCAGGGGACUGCCGAUCCCAUGGUUGCAGAGGCAUGGCUAAAACAGAUGGAGAAGAUAUUUGUGGCUAUGGGUUGUAAUGAUGAUCAAAGGGUAAUAUUAGCCUCAUUUGUCCUUCAGGGUGAGGCAGACCACUGGUGGGAUGCCAAAUCUCGUCUCAUAAGGGCUGGCUUGCAAGAUGCACCCAUUACUUGGGAGUUAUUUUUGGAGGCUUUUCAUGAAAAGUAUUUUCCUGAACGAGUUCGACAUCAGAUGGAGGCUGAUUUCUUGAGGUUGACUCAAGGAACAAAGUCUGUUGCGGAGUAUGAGGAACAAUUUACUGCCCUCUCUCGUUUUGCUCAUACCUUGGUUGCUAAUGAAGGUAGUAAGUGUAGGAAGUUCCUGGAAGGGUUACGUCCUAACAUUAAAGGGCGAUUGACCAUCCUUAAGAUUAACAAUUAUGCCGAUUUGGUGGACCGAGCAAUUCUUGCGGAGAAGGAUAUUCUUGAAGCCCAAGUUACAAGGGAUCAGAGAAAUAAGAAGAAUCCACAAGGUGGACCGCAAAAUGGAAGUUCUUAUAGGCAGGGUCCUCACUCCCAGAAGUAUAAUGGUGGAGGUAACAAAUGGGAUAACAAGGGUGUUCCUGAUGACACUGCUCGGAGGAACUACCCCAUUUGUCGACAUUGUGAAAGGAGGCACCCUGGUGAAUGCCAUUGGAAAACUGGAGCUUGUUUUGCUUGUGGAGAAUCUGGGCAUAGGAUUAUGGAUUGCCCAAAGAGACGUAGCGAGACUACAAAUACUCAGACUAACGAAGGGCAGAGGAAGAAACCGAGGGUGCAAGGGCGUGUUUUUGCACUAACAGAAAAAGAUGCUGAGGUGUCCAAUGAUGUAGUAUCAGGUACAUUGUCCUUAUUCUCUAGAGAAGCCAAAGUUCUUUUUGAUCCUGGUGCUACACAUUCAUUUGUAUCUUGUGUGUUUGCCCGUUAUGCUAAUGUGCCUAUCACACCACUGGAUGUUCACGUGACAAUUAGUACCCCUAUGGGGGAUUGCCAGUUUAUAGAUCAUGUCUAUAAGUCAUGUGUGAUCAGAUUGUGUGAUAAAGAAUUCCUUGUGGAUCUCCUACCUUUAGAGAUGCACGAUUUUGAUUUGAUUUUGGGGAUGGAUUGGUUAGGACCUUACCAUGUUUCAAUAGAUUGUUUUGCUAAGGAAAUUAUUUUCGCCUACCUGGCGAGGAAGAAUUUCAUUUUCAAGGGAAUCAUAAGAGUCAUAAAGCUUUGAUUUCUAUGGUUAAGGCAAUGAAAAUGCUAAAGAAGGGGUGUGAAGGAUUUUUAGCGUAUAUAGUUGCUGACCAUCCCGAUGGGGCGUGCCUUGAAGACAUACCUAUUGUAAGGGAGUUUAUUGAUGUAUUUCCUGAAGAUCUUCCGGGACUACCCCCAGAUCGAGAGGUUGAGUUUACUAUAGAAUUAGUUCCUGGUACUACACCUAUAUCCAAGGCACCAUAUCGGAUGGCACCCAUUGAAUUAAAAGAACUAAAGGUCCAGCUACAAGAAUUACUAGAUAAGGGUUUCAUUCGUCCUAGUGUGUCGCCUUGGGGUGCUCCCGUUUUGUUCGUAAAGAAGAAAGAUGGUUCAAUGAGGUUGUGUAUAGACUACCGGCAGUUGAAUAUGGUUACCGUCAAGAAUAAAUACCCUCUUCCCCGAAUUGAUGACCUCUUUGAUCAAUUACGAGGUGCAGCGGUAUUCUCUAAAAUUGAUUUACGAUCUGGCUACCAUCAAUUGAAAAUAAGAAGUGAGGAUGUAUCGAAGACAGCUUUUCGAACUCGUUAUGGACAUUAUGAGUUCUUAGUUAUGCCUUUUGGAUUAACUAAUGCUCCUGCAGUGUUCAUGGAUUUGAUGAAUAGGAUCUUCCAACCUUAUCUUGACCAGUUUGUUAUCGUCUUUAUUGAUGACAUAUUAAUUUACUCUAAUAGUAAGAAGGAGCACGAGACGCACCUGAGGAUUGUAUUAGAAACAUUGCGGGAGAAGAAGUUGUAUGGAAAAUUUAAGAAAUGUGAGUUUUGGCUUGAUCGUGUGAUGUUUUUGGGACAUAUAGUGACGAAGGAUGGUAUUUCAGCAGAUCCAGCCAAAGUGGAGGUAAUUGUGAAUUGGGAAAGGCCUGCUAGUGUGACUGAAGUAAGGAGUUUCUUAGGAUUGGCAGGUUAUUAUAGGCGCUUUGUCAAAGGAUUUUCUAGCAUAGCAGCACCAUUGACUAAUUUGACUAAGAAGAAUGUGAAGUUCAAUUGGGAUGAGGCAUGUGAAAAGAGCUUUCAAGAGCUCAAGAGUCAUUUGGUGACUGCCCCCGUUUUAACUCUCCCUUCUGAAGGUGGAGGUUUUGUGAUUUACAGUGAUGCUUCCAGAAAAGGUUUGGGUUGCGUUUUAAUGCAACAUGGUAAGGUUAUAGCAUAUGCUUCUAGGCAGCUAAAGAAUCAUGAACAAAACUACCCAACACACGAUUUGGAAUUGGCUGCUAUGGUGUUUGCUCUAAAAAUCUGGAGACACUAUUUGUAUGGGGAGACUUGUGAGAUCUUCACCGAUCAUAAGAGUUUGAAGUACUUGUUUACUCAAAAGGAAUUGAAUUUGAGGCAAAGAAGAUGGUUGGAGUUGGUAAAGGAUUUUGAUUGUUCUAUUAAUUAAAAUCCGUGAAGAUGUGAGCAAAGGACAUAAGCCCGGAUUUAGACUUGAUAAUGGGGAUGGAUUAUGGUUGGGACAAAGGUUAUGCGUGCCAGCAGACGAAGAGUUGAAGGCGGAGAUCUUAAGAGAAGCUCAUGAAUCAUCUUACAGUUUGCAUCCUGGUAGUACUAAGAUGUAUCGUGAUCUAAAGCAAAGUUUUUGGUGGAGGAAUAUGAAGAGAGAUAUUGCUGCUUUUGUGUCUCGGUGUUUAGUCUGCCAACAAGUAAAGAUUGAGCAUCAAAGACCAGCAGGAACUUUACAAACGCUUCCUAUUCCUCAGUGGAAAUGGGAACACAUAACAAUGGAUUUCGUUUCUGGAUUACCUCGUUCUAGGAGGGGAUGUGAUUGCAUUUGGGUAAUUGUUGAUCGAUUGACGAAAUCAGCUCAUUUCUUGGCAAGGAAGAGUACAGACAAUGUAGGGCAACUAGCUAAGUUGUUCAUUAAGGAGAUAGUGAGGCUUCAUGGAGUUCCAGUGUCAAUAGUGUCUGAUAGAGAUCCACUGUUCACUUCAAGAUUUUGGGCUAGCUUACAUAAAGAGUUGGGGACGAAAUUGAGAUUUAGCACUGCUUUCCAUCCACAGACAGAUGGGCAAUCCGAAAGGACUAUUCAAACCCUUGAGGAUAUGCUUCGAGCUUGCGUCCUAGACUUGAGUGGUGGUUGGGAAGAGCACCUAAUGUUGAUCGAAUUUGCUUAUAACAAUAGCUUCCAUUCGAGUAUUGGCAUGGCACCAUUUGAGGCAUUAUAUGGAAGAAAGUGUAGGUCCCCAAUCUGCUGGGAUGAAGUUGGUGAAAGAAAACUUUUGGGUCCAGAAUUAAUACAGAUUACUGUUGAUAAAAUCAAGUUGAUUAGAGGACGUCUUCAAACAGCUCAGAGCAGACAGAAGAGUUAUGCAGAUCGUCGUAGACGUGAGUUGGAAUUCGAAAAAGGAGAUUUUGUUUUCUUGAAAGUAUCGCCAUGGAAAGGGGUGUUUCGGUUCGGGAAGACAGGAAAGCUUAGCCCUAGAUUUAUUGGACCAUUUGAGAUUUUAGAGAGAAUUGGUCCGGUGGCCUAUCGCAUAGCUUUACCACCAAGUCUGUCUAGGCUUCACAAUGUAUUUCAUGUGUCUGUGUUAAGAAAGUACAUUGCAGACCCUUUACAUGUGCUAGACUAUCAACCGAUUCAGAUAAAUGAAGACAUGUCGUAUGAGGAACAGCCUAUUGAGAUUGUCGUUAAGGAACAAGUAUUAAGGAAUAGAGUUAUUCCCCUAGUGAAGGUACGAUGGAUGAAUCAUUCUAUUGAGGAAGCCACUUGGGAGAGAGAAGCAGAAAUGUUGGAGAAGUAUCCUCAACUCUUCCAUGCAUAAGGUAACCUUUUAAUUUCGAGGACGAAAUUUUUGUUAGGAGGGGAGAAAUUGUAACGCCACAAAUUCGCAUACAUAUUAAAUUAUGGAAAUUGGGCUUUCAUUGAGAAUUAUGGGUGGCCUAUAACCCUUAUUUAGAAAGGGGUACUAAUUAAAUAGAGGUUAUUUAUGAGAUCAUUUUGGAAAAGGGCUAUUUUUCCUUAUUGAAUAGGGUUUCUUAAGAUCCCCUAUAAAUACAUACUUUUCCCCCUUCCAUAACCCUAAGUUCACAACGUUUAUCCUUCUUCUCUGCUGCUCUUUACGCUCCUACCCAAAUCUUAGGAUUCAAACCUUUGUUUAGGAGAGACUCAAAGCGACGGGUAAGUUCACAACGUUUAUUCUGAACAGCAUGAGUAUCUCGAAUUUUUAAAGCUAUAUUUUCUGAACGAAUUUUCUUAUAAAAUUUAUAUUUCUGGAAACUAGACAUGUAGGGCUUCUUGAUUAAAUUUUAUUUCAUUAAAUUCAACUUCGUUUUCAAUUUUAUACGUAUUUUGGAAAUAGAAACCACUGCACUGGAAAUCCACGAUUCCAGUAUUGUGAUCAGAUUCACAAGACUAUUUGUACCACCAAAUGAACUCACAAAAUUCUGAAAGUUUAUAUGUAUGUUAAUAUAUGUGUCUAGGAUUCCCAGUUUUAAUUUCAUAAUUUUCUGAUUAGUAUUUUAUUUUAUAAAAAUCACGGAACCCGUUCUGUUUGGUUUAGAUUAUGUGAAAACAGUUUCGAAUUUGCUGAGAAGUAAAUAGUUUUUAAAAUGUUUUUGAUAUCGGAUCCUCUUGUAAAUUUUACAUGGGGUACUCAUGGAUGUCCAGAAUGGUUCCAUAGGAUUUUAUAUCAUUCUGAGUCUUUGAUUAAGAGUUAAAAUUCCGAGAAUCAGACCUGUACGGGUAUGAAUUAGAAAAUCAAAUUCUUAGAAUAAGUUAUUGAUUGUCAUAUCUUGUAUUUGUUUAAGGUUUUGAAGGUGUUUGAGGCUCUUAGAAGCUUAGAGGUGUGUUAAUCCAAGUUCAUUUGUCGAGGUAAGUAACUUCAUUCCUAAUGUACUGGAUAUGUAGAAGUAUUUUGAUAUUAUUAUUAUAAGUAUAAAUGUUUUGAUACUACUUAAAGGAUUACUAAUUUUGAUAACAAAAUUAGCUUUAUGUAAAUGUUUUCAAACCAUUCUUUUUAACAAAGUAUUUUAUAAAUGCUUUUUAAUAUGUAAAUGAUUUUAUGACAUGACAACCUUUUAUGAUGUUAUCUUUAAAAUGUUAUGCAAGCCUAUAUUAUUGAUAUGAACUUUUAUAAAUCUGAUACGAAUGUUUUGUACCCAUAUAUGAUUUCAAUUACUGAUAAUUGUAUGAGAUUCCUAAUGUUUUGGCUCAUUGUCCAUAGUUAUUCUGAUUCUGAUUCUGAUCGUAAUAUACGAUAUAUCUGUCUGGACCAGUACUGGGUUUCUGUUCUGAAUGUGCACACGAUAUUCUGAUUAUGUUUCUGGCCGGGUCACCGGGACUAUAGGUGACACUAUGUGACAUGAGCUAACCUGUUUGUUUUCUGUAUACGUAUUACAUGAGUUGAUUCGUAAGUAAAUAUGCUUUUGAAUAUUCUGAAUUAUUAAGAAUUUAUCUUAUGUUAUUGUGAUAUAUCGUUUUAUGAAAAUUAUGGAUUAUGAUAUAUGCUUUAAACAAAAGAAGGCUUGCAAUAUUUUUGGUAUCGAUAGGCCUAGUGUGUUAGGAAUGGUUUUAUUUACCGAGUUGACGGCUCACCCCUCGUCAUUACUUUUUGCAGAUUAAGUUUCUUUUGAGAGGUGCACUUAGCUUUGGAGUUAAUGAUUUCCAGUUUCCGUUUGCUAUUGAAUAAGAGGAGGAAUAGACUUGUGUUUCUAUUUAGUUACUUUUAUUAUGAACGUGUAAUUUGGAGUUUGAGACUUUUGUUAUUAUUUUUAUAUGUCCUCGAGAGAGAUUAUUUAGUAUUUGACGUUUGGAUUUAUGGAUUUAUUUGAAUAAGAAUUGGAGGAAUUUCAGUUUGAAACUUAUGAGUAAAGAUUAUGAUUUGUGAGUAACCUCCUUCUUCACGUGCUCCGCACGUGUUAGAUUUGGGGUGUUACAAUUGUGGUAUAGGCUAUAGUCCACCCGUUUUUGUGGCCUUUUUCCGCUGUACAAACUUGGCGCCCCGACCUUCGGGCUGUUAAUUUUGGACUCGGCUUUGCCCGCGGCCUAUUUUUGGCACACGGAGGCCCCUCGCAAAGUCUCGCGGCAUUCCGAGUCCGGCGGACGAAGUUGGCCAGCCCCACCCCCCAC
rnacentral:lncRNA from 1 species